AAGUUUGUAAAGCGCGCAAAUUGAUGGCAUUGGAGACUGGUUUAAUUGUUCCAAUUUGCCAAUACUUAUGAGCGUAGUGAGAGGAACGUUAAGGAAAGUCUCUUCUGUGCCCAUUCGUUGAAAGAGGGUAUUUCUUCGUGCGUUACGUCACUCGGACCAGCGGUGACGAUGCUAUCGAGAAUCACGGCUGCGUUAUCGUCCACACUUCCGCCAUUUCAGUAGGAUAGAUAAAUAAAAUAUGGGUGUUGGAGCCAUCACGCAACAUAAAGUAGGUGUCCGAGUAUUAUAAAUUAUGACAAUUGCGAAUCAAAUGAAACACUUAAAGCUUGAAAAGUGGGGAUCUUGUAGUGGGCUCAUUACAGGCUCGGUAGUCUCAUCGUUUACAUUAAGAAGUUGGUAUUUCAGAUCUUCAAAGUUACGCUAGAGGGUACGAGAUUAAUUUUUGUGCUUUCCAGAUAUAUAUCAUUAAAUAUUUCGCCGAAUUUUAUUCGUAGAAGAAUAUUAUAAUCUAAAAAUGGCCGAAGAAAGUGCGAGGACAAAUAAUUUUACAAAAAUUAAAACAGAUUUUACACAGAUGGUAACAAAGGAUCCGAAGAAAACAAUCUUCUUUGUCUUCAAGAUUAUCGAAGUGGUUUGUAGAAGCAGAAUCAUUAUCAUGAGUUGCUUUAUUUGAAUACGCUCUUUGUAUAUUGGAAAUAAAA